GACGAACGCUGGCGGCGUGCUUAACACAUGCAAGUCGAACGAAGUGGCGAACGGGUGAGUAAUACGUGUGUAACCUGCCCUCCUUUUGGGGAUUAGCUUUGGAAACCGGUUCUAAUACCCACAUUAGGGUGUUGGGCGCGCGGCGUAUCAGCUUGUUGGUGGGGUGAGUGCCUACCACGGCGGUGACGGGUAGCCGGCCUGAGAUGGUGACCGGUCACAGUGGGACUGAGAUACGGCCCAGACUCCUACGGGGGGCAGCAGUGGGGGCUAUUGCACAAAGGGCGAAAGAGUGAUGCAGCGACGCCGCGUGGGGGAUGAAGGCUGUCGGGUUGUAAAAGUCUUUCGCUAGCGAACGGGUAGGUGGAGAAGAAGCACCGGCUAACUACGUGCCAGCAGCCGCGGUAAUUC
rnacentral:rRNA from 1 species